rnacentral:rRNA from 1 species
AUUGAACGCUGGCGGCAUGCUUUACACAUGCAAGUCGAACGGCAGCACGGGUGCUUGCACCUGGUGGCGAGUGGCGGACGGGUGAGUAAUACAUCGGAACGUGUCCAGAAGAGGGGGAUAACGCAUCGAAAGAUGUGCUAAUACCGCAUAUGCUCUGAGGAGGAAAGUAGGGGAUCGAAAGACCUUACGCUUUUGGAGCGGCCGAUGUCUGAUUAGCUAGUUGGUGGGGUAAGGGCCUACCAAGGCGACGAUCAGUAGUUGGUCUGAGAGGACGACCAGCCACACUGGGACUGAGACACGGCCCAGACUCCUACGGGAGGCAGCAGUGGGGAAUUUUGGACAAUGGGCGCAAGCCUGAUCCAGCAAUGCCGCGUGAGUGAAGAAGGCCUCGGUUGGUAAGACGUACUUUCUAGUCGAGAAGAAAAGGACGUAGCAGUGAAUAACUAGUAG